rnacentral:rRNA from 1 species
AAUUAUUAAUUACACCCACAAUUUUUAUACUUUUAUAAAAUUUACUAAAAACAUUACCAAGUUAAGUAAAGGUGAUUAAAACUUAGUUUCCCGGGUUAGCGAAAUAGUACUGAAAAGGAAAUAUUAUUUAAUUUUUCAAAAGAAGAUAUAAACCCUCGUACCUUUUGUAUCAUGGUUUAGCUAGAAUUAAAUUUCAAAUCAAAAAUCUCGAAAUCUAAUGAGCUAUCUUGAUUCAUUAUAUUAGAAAAAACAAGAGUAGUUGUGGCAAAAACUUUCUUAGAAAUCAAGAUAGAAAUGAAAUUUUUUCCGUAUUAGAUGAUAGCUAGUUUCCCCCUAAAAGUAUAGAAGUACUCAAAAUUAACGUUUUUAUACUAAAUAUUUUAAAUUUAUAUAAAAAUCUAAUUUUAACAAGCCCUAGAGGAUGAGCUCUAAGGUUAAUAAGAACUCGGCAUAUAAAUUUCUUAUUAAAUUUAAGCUUGAAAAUAGCCAUAAUACUGAGAUUUUGUUACAAUUUCAUUUAUCUUCCUGCAAAUAUAAUUAAUUUAUCUACAAGACGGGGGAUUAGGCUGAAAAUAAUUCAUUACAGCUUAUAUUAAUGCUAAAAUGAGUAUUUAUAUAUAAUUUAUAAGUGACUUAACUAAGAUAAAUUAUUUAAGUUUAUAAACAGCUCUUUUAUAUAAAUAAACUUACGUAAAGGAACUCGGCAAAACACUGCUCCGCCUGUUUAUCAAAAACAUGGCUCCUUGAUUCACCCCCCCAUAAGGAGUCGGACCUGCCCAGUGAAUUAAUUUUUUAACGGCCGCGGUACUCUGACCGUGCAAAGGUAGCAUAAUCAUUUGCCCUAUAAUUGAGGGCUAGUAUGAAUGGUUUGACGUGAGCAAGACUGUCUCUGCGUAAAUUUAUAGAACUUGAUUUUUAGGUGAAGAAACCUAAAUUUUAUUGAUAGACAAGAAGACCCUAUUGAGCUUUAAAAAAGUAGGUAGAGAAUAAUAUAUAAAUUUAAAUAUUAAUCUAUUUUAAAUUUUGGUUGGGGCGACUAAGGAACAAACAAAGCUUCUUUAAUACCUUUAUACUGACAAGUUUUGAUCCAGAAAUUCUGAUUAAUGGAAAUAGUUACCAUAGGGAUAACAGCAUAAUUUUCUUUGAGAGUCCUUAUCGAAAAGAAAGUUUGUGACCUCGAUGUUGGACUAGAAUAUCCUGAAGAUGCAGCAGUCUUUAAGGGUUGGUCUGUUCGACCAUUAAAAUUCUACAUGAUCUGAGUUCAGACCGGCGUGAGCCAGGUCAGUUUCUAUCUUCAAUUACAAUGCUUUAAAUUUAGUACGAAAGGACCAAUUUAACAUAAAAAUUAUUAUAUUAGAUGCAAUAUAAUGCCCGAAUAAAUAAUUAGUAAACACUCAAUA